rnacentral:rRNA from 1 species
AGAGUUUGAUCCUGGCUCAGAGUUAACGCUGGCGGCGUGCCUAACACAUGCAAGUCGAGCGAGCUUGUAGCAAUACAAGUUAGCAGCAAACGGGUGAGUAACACAUGGGAAACCUCCCUCAGAAUGGGGAACAUCUCCGAGAAAUCGGAGCUAAUACCGCAUAAGACCACAGUCUGGCAUCAGACAGGGGUAAAGCAGCAAUGCGUUUUGAGAUGGUCCUGUGUCCUAUCAGCUAGUUGGUGAGGUAACGGCCUACCAAGGCGACGACGGGUAGCCGGCCUGAGAGGGCGACCGGCCACACUGGGACUGAGACACGGCCCAGACUCCUACGGGAGGCAGCAGUGGGGAAUAUUGCGCAAUGGGCGAAAGCCUGACGCAGCGACGCCGCGUGAGGGACGAAGGUCUUCGGAUUGUAAACCUCUUUCAGCAGGGACGAAGCGAAAGUGACUGUACCUGCAGAAGAAGCACCGGCUAACUACGUG